UUAUUAUUAUUAUUAUUUAUUAUUAUUAUUAUUAUUAUUUUUAUUGUUAUUAUUAUUAAGAGAGUGAGAAAAGUCUUCAGCAUCUUGUGAAACAGUUCAGAGGAAUAGGACUGAGUAUGAAUACAGGGGAAAGAAAAUAUCUAAGAAGCUCUUCUUGUUCGUAUACAGUAUCAGAAAUGGUACUCACAAGAACUUGAGGAGGCAUUUCCUUCAAAUUGGAAUAAAACC